GAUGAAGAACGUAGUGAAAUGCGAUAAGUAAUGCGAAUUGCAGAAUUCAGUGAGUCAUCGAAUCUUUGAACGCACAUUGCGCCCUGUGGUAUUCCGCAGGGCAUGCCUGUUCGAGCGUCAUUUCAACCCUCAAGCUCCGCUUGGUGUUGGGCCCUGCCCCCGCGGCCGGCCCCAAAGACAGUGGCGGCGCCGCUCGGCCCUAAGCGUAGUACAUCUCUCGCUCUAGGACCCGGCGGUGGCCUGCCAGAACCCCCAACUCAUGUGGUUGACCUCGGAUCAGGUAGGGAUACCCGCUGAACUUAAGCAUAUCAAUAAGCGGAGGA
rnacentral:misc_RNA from 1 species